rnacentral:rRNA from 1 species
UACGAAGGGGGCUAGCGUUGUUCGGAAUUACUGGGCGUAAAGCGCGCGCAGGCGGUUCUCCAAGUCAGUGGUGAAAGCCCGGAGCUCAACUCCGGAACUGCCAUUGAAACUGUUGAACUUGAGGACGAGAGAGGUGAGUGGAAUUCCCAGUGUAGAGGUGAAAUUCGUAGAUAUUGGGAAGAACACCAGUGGCGAAGGCGAGUCUCUGGACAUUUCCUGACGCUGAGGCACGAAAGCCAGGGGAGCAAACGGG